UACGUAGGGGGCGAGCGUUGUCCGGAUUUAUUGGGCGUAAAGGGCUCGUAGGCGGUUUGUCGCGUCGGGAGUGAAAACUCAGGGCUUAACCCUGAGCCUGCUUCCGAUACGGGCAGACUAGAGGUAUGCAGGGGAGAAUGGAAUUCCUGGUGUAGCGGUGAAAUGCGCAGAUAUCAGGAGGAACACCGGUGGCGAAGGCGGUUCUCUGGGCAUUACCUGACGCUGAGGAGCGAAAGUGUGGGGAGCGAACAGG
rnacentral:rRNA from 1 species